CAGCGCAAUGGAAAGCGCGUUGGACUUCUAAUCCAAAGGUCGUGGGUUCGAAUCCCCCCCUGG
rnacentral:tRNA from 1 species